GAUGAACGCUGGCGGCGUGCCUAAUACAUGCAAGUCGAGCGAACAGACGAGGAGCUUGCUCCUCUGACGUUAGCGGCGGACGGGUGAGUAACACGUGGAUAACCUACCUAUAAGACUGGGAUAACUUCGGGAAACCGGAGCUAAUACCGGAUAAUAUAUUGAACCGCAUGGUUCAAUAGUGAAAGACGGUUUUGCUGUCACUUAUAGAUGGAUCCGCGCCGAAUUAGCUAGUUGGUAAGGUAACGGCUUACCAAGGCAACGAUGCGUAGCCGACCUGAGAGGGUGAUCGGCCACACUGGAACUGAGACACGGUCCAGACUCCUACGGGAGGCAGCAGUAGGGAAUCUUCCGCAAUGGGCGAAAGCCUGACGGAGCAACGCCGCGUGAGUGAUGAAGGUCUUCGGAUCGUAAAACUCUGUUAGUAGGGAAGAACAAAUGUGUAAGUAACUAUGCACGUAUUGACGGUACCUACUCAGAAAGCCACGGCUAACUACGUG
rnacentral:rRNA from 1 species